GUGCUCACUUAGGCAGCACAUGUACUAAAAUUGGAACAAGACAGAGAAAAUUAGCAUGGCCCCCUAUGUAAGGAUGACACGAACAUUUGUGAAGCAUUCCAUAUUAAA
rnacentral:snRNA from 1 species